GCGGAUGUGACGGAACUGGCAGACGUGCAGGCCUCAGACACCUGUGGAUAUUACUUCCUUGUGGGUUCAAGUCCCAUCGUCCGCACCA
rnacentral:tRNA from 1 species